GGAAGGAUGGCCGAGUGGUUAUGGCGCGUGACUCAAGCAGAAUAUAGAAUAUGCUUCUGUUCUAAGAACAGGUUUCUCGUGGGGCAACCCGCGGGGGUUCGAAUCCCCCUCCUUUCA